GCCUGGCUAGCUCAGUCUGAAGAGUGUGUGACUCUUGAUCUUAGGGUUGUGAGUUCGAGCCCCACACUGGGUG
rnacentral:tRNA from 1 species